rnacentral:misc_RNA from 1 species
UCUCCGUUGGUGAACCAGCGGAGGGAUCAUUACAGGACUCGCAAGACUCCUACAACCCUGUGAACUUAACUAUAAGCACGUUGCUUCGGCGGGUGUCUCGGAGGGGGUUCACCCUCCCCGAGACGCUAAACCCGCCGGCAGCCUACUAUACUCUGUCUCUUUGCGUUGGCAUCUCGAGUACAAUCAAACAAGUUAAAACUUUCAACAACGGAUCUCUUGGUUCUG